rnacentral:rRNA from 1 species
GACGAACGCUGGCGGCGUGCCUAAUACAUGCAAGUCGAGCGGACCGAAUGGAAGCUUGCUUCUGUUCGGUUAGCGGCGGACGGGUGAGUAACACGUGGGUAACCUGCCCGUAAGACCGGGAUAACUCCGGGAAACCGGGGCUAAUACCGGAUAACACCGAAGACCGCAUGGUCUUUGGUUGAAAGGUGGCUUUUGCUACCACUUACGGAUGGGCCCGCGGCGCAUUAGCUAGUUGGUGAGGUAACGGCUGACCAAGGCGACGAGGCGUAGCCGGCCUGAGAGGCUGACCGGCCACACUGGGACUGAGACACGGCCCAGACUCCUACGGGAGGCAGCAGUAGGGAAUCUUCCGCAAUGGACGAAAGUCUGACGGAGCGACGCCGCGUGAGCGAAGAAGGUCUUCGGAUCGUAAAGCUCUGUUGUUAGGGAAGAAGAAGUACCGUUCGAAUAGGGCGGUACGGUGACGGUACCUAACGAGAAAGCCCCGGCUAACUACGUGCCAGCCGCCGCCGUAAUAC